UUAUUGGGCCAACCCUUCUCUGUAGCAAAAGAGUGGGAAGAUUUUAAAGUAGAGGUGACAUACCUACCGAGCCUAGAGAUAGCUGGUUAUUCAAGAAAAGGAUUUUAGUCCACCUUUAAGUUUUAUAGUAUAAAUAAACCAGUCCAAUAGUAUCCAAUAUACUUAAAAUAUCAAGAAGACUUAAAAGUCAUUCAAAUAAGGUACAGCCUAUUUGAAUCAGGAAACAGCCUCCAAUAAUGGGUAAUGACCUCCCCCCUAUGAUUAAGUCGGCCUAAAAGCAGCCACCUUUUAAAAAGCGUCCCAGCCUUAUCAUAACCUAUUACCAAUCCCACAACUAACUCAUAACCCUCAACUGCUACUGAAUAAUCCCAUAAAUAUAUGAGAGCCAUCAUGCUAGAACUAGUAACAAGAAAAGAACUUCUCCAAAAUGUAAACGCAAGCCAUAAUGAACCAUCACCGGCAUCCACCGCAUAAAUUCACAGUACCAACAACCCAAGAAAAUCGUACUUUAAAUAGCGUUAACCUUACACUAGAACAUUUCUGAGAAAGAUUAAAAGAGACGGAAGGAAUUCGGCAAACAUUA
rnacentral:rRNA from 1 species